rnacentral:lncRNA from 1 species
AGAAGGAGAAGAGAUUAGGAGGAAGAGGAUGAGAAAGGAGGGAGAGCGCUCGUGGGUGGAUUUAGAGGAGAAGGAAGAUGAUGAGGUGGAGUAGGUGAGGAGAAAAGAGAGGAGAGAGAAAGAAAGGCUGUCCGUAAGGAAAGACAAAGGUUGAGGAGAAGAUGGAUAAAGAGAGGUAGGCGGACUUAGAGGAGGAGAAAAAGAAGCGAGAGAGGAGGAAGGAGAUAUGGAGGAUGGAGAGUUCGCUAGUGAAAUUGGUGGAGGUGAAGAGAGUCAUUAUAGAGGGAGAAGGCGUACAAGCGGAUUUGGAAGAGGAGGCAGAGAAGUGGAGAGGGAAGGAAGGGUCGUGAAUGAGCUUAGAGGAAGAGAAGAAUGAAGAAAAGUGAAUCAGAAGGAAGGAGAUGAGAAAAAGGAGAGAUCGUUGGUGAGGAAUGAUUGGAGGUGGUGGGGGCCGCCGUGGAGAGAGAUUUGAGCGGGCUUGAAGAAGGAGGAGGAUAAGUAAGAAAGGAGAAAGGGG